GGUGAUUUUAAAUAACAAAAAUAUUUCUUGGUGGGUCUUCAUUUAUAUCCUAUAUAUAAAUUUGUGUACACAAUAUAUGUUAUACAAAUUCUCCAACCAAGCUUUAAAUGUUUAUUAUAGUUCAUAUUGCACUAUUUGUUUCUCUAACGGAUGGUUAAACUUUACACUAAAAAUAGUGUAAUAUAAAAUGUUGUCUUCCUAAUUAGCAAAUAAAGCAUAAAAUAAAUUACUCAAAUUCCCCUAAAAGCUUUUCAUCAAUGGUUGCCAUUGUAAGAUAAACCAAAUGGUUCGUAAGGUAUCAUAAAUGGAGUUCAAUAUCACUUAUAUGUAUAAAGAGCUUGUUGCCCCAGUUUUCUCCGUUACAUGUGGCACACUUUAAGGAGGAUUGAGGUUUCACGUAAGCUAGUAAAGUCUCCUUGAGCCUAUUCUAGGCUCCACAAGAUGUAAGCUCAUCCUUCACCACAGUUCACCACCUCCGGAGGAGUACUGUUACGACCUACUAAUAGGGCUGAGCAUAAAAUUCAAAAAACCGAAAAAACCAGAUAAACCGACCAUCCGAACACUGAAAAAACCGAAACCGAUUAAACCGAACACCGAAAAAACCUCAAACGGCGUAAACCGCCACUGUUUGGUCGGUUUAGAAAUAUUGUCCGGACCGACCGAACGGAACCGAAACCGACCGAGCACUAUUAUAUAUAAUAAUAUAAUAUUAUAUAAUUAUUAAUUAAAAAAUAAAUAAAAUCUGAUAUGUUUUUAGGCCAUCUCUUCUCUCGAUCUCUCUAUCUCUAUCACAUCGCAUAUACUCCUCUCAGCAGCUCAGCCCCUACGGUGUCGCCUCCUUCCUUCCUCUCUGUCUCCUCCCUCCGGCGACUGCCAAAACGAACGGAAUGGAACAGCCCAGCCUCUUCCUCUCUGUCUCUCUCAUCAUCUCCUCAUCUCCUCCUCUUCCUCUCUGUUUCGCUUAUCCCUCUGCCCAAACGAAACGAACGGAACGGACCGACAUCGAGCAAACGCGACUCGGCGGUAGCACUGCCCAGCCCACUCCGGCGACUGCUUCACCGACACAGUGCCUUCCCACUCCAGCGACUGCUUCACUCACGGACACAGUGACUCGAGUGAAUCAUGUAAUCCUGGCAGUCUUGAUUCAAACAAGGUGAAGGGGAAGAUUUUGAUUUGUCUUGUGAAUCUACCUUUAUUCAAUCCUGCAGAAAUGGUUUACCAAGCUUCUCUUGUGGGUGCUGUUGGAGUGAUAGUAAUUAAUCAUAUCUCCAUUAUAAGAACAAUUCCUCAAACCUUUAUUCUUCCUGCAUCUCAUCUCAAUGCCUCUCAGGGAAAUUUUGUAUAUGAAUACUUGAAGAUUGCUAAGAAUCCUAUAGCCUACAUAUCUCGGGGAAAGACUGAAUUGGAAGUAAAACCAUCACCAAUUAUGGCUUCAUUCUCAUCAAGAGGACCUAAUGCCAUAGAACCAUCAAUAUGGAUAUAUAUUGGAAAACACUAUUAAUUAUUAAAAUGGAUUCCAACAGUCCAAAAAUUUUAAUUUUUUAACCAAAACUUUAAAAAAAAAAACAAUAAUCAAUUCGGUUUGGUCGGUUUAACCGACCAAACCGCGGUCCAAAACGGUCGGUUUUUUUUAAACUGGUUUGGUUCGGUCGGUUUUUGGAUUGCACCAAUCCGGACCGAAAACCGAAUUUUGGAUUUUUUGUUGUGAAAAAACUGCCAAAACCGACCGAUGCUCACCCCU